GACGAACGCUGGCGGCGUGCUUAACACAUGCAAGUCGAACGGAAAGGCCCCUUUGGGGGUACUCGAGUGGCGAACGGGUGAGUAACACGUGCGUAACCUGCCCUUGACUUCGGGAUAACUUCAGGAAACUGGGGCUAAUACCGGAUAGGAAUCCUUGCUGCAUGGUGGGGGUUGGAAAGCUUCGGCGGUUUUGGAUGGACUCGCGGCUUAUCAGCUUGUUGGUGUGGUAGUGGCUUACCAAGGCUCUGACGGGUAGCCGGCCUGUGAGGGCGACCGGCGACAUUGGGACUGAGAGAAGGCCCAGACUCCUACGGGAGGAAGAAGUGGGGAAUAUUGCACAAGGGGCGGAAGCCUGAUGCAGAAACGCCGCGUGCGGGAUGACGGUCUUCGGGUUGUAAAACGCUUUCAGCAGGGGCGAAGCUUGUGGUGACGGUACCUGCAGAAGAAGCACCGGCUAACUACGUG
rnacentral:rRNA from 1 species